UACGGAGGGUGCAAGCGUUAUCCGGAUUCACUGGGGUUAAAGGGUGCGUAGGCGGACAGGUAAGUCAGUGGUGAAAUCUCCGAGCUUAACUCGGAAACUGCCUUUGAUACUCUCUGUCUUGAAUAUGGUGGAGGUAAGCGGAAUAUGUCAUGUAGCGGUGAAAUGCUUAGAGAUGACAUAGAACACCUAUUGCGAAGGCAGCUCACUACACGAAUAUUGACACUGAGGCACGAAAGCGUGGGGAUCAAACAGG
rnacentral:rRNA from 1 species